rnacentral:rRNA from 1 species
UACGAAGGGAGCUAGCGUUGUUCGGAAUCACUGGGCGUAAAGCGCACGUAGGCGGAUGUGUCAGUCAGGGGUGAAAUCCCGGAGCUCAACUUCGGAACUGCCUUUGAUACAGCACGUCUUGAGUCCGAUAGAGGUGGGUGGAAUUCCUAGUGUAGAGGUGAAAUUCGUAGAUAUUAGGAAGAACACCGAUUGCGAAGGCAGCUCGCUGGAACGUUACUGACGCUGAGACGCGAAAGCGUGGGGAGCAAACAGG